UGUUUCCUGCCUUGUGCGACAGGUAUGGCGUCUAUAAAUCCAACACUUACGAAAAGGGAUUCCGGAUCUCGCGGCAGAUUGCAGACCUCCCGCUCUGGCGGACGAAGGGAGCGUGAAACCGCGAGGAGGUUUUACCCACCCUGUCUUAGGACGGGUUUAAUAAGCCAUACCACCGGCAAGGCGGGUUACUU
rnacentral:other from 1 species